GACGAACGCUGGCGGCGUGCCUAAUACAUGCAAGUUGAGCGCUGAAGGUUGGUACUUGUACCAACUGGAUGAGCAGCGAACGGGUGAGUAACGCGUGGGGAAUCUGCCUUUGAGCGGGGGACAACAUUUGGAAACGAAUGCUAAUACCGCAUAAAAACUUUAAACACAAGUUUUAAGUUUGAAAGAUGCAAUUGCAUCACUCAAAGAUGAUCCCGCGUUGUAUUAGCUAGUUGGUGAGGUAAAGGCUCACCAAGGCGAUGAUACAUAGCCGAGCUGAGAGGGUGGUCGGCCACAUUGGGACUGGGACACGGCCCAAGCUCCUACGGGAGGCAGCAGUAGGGAAUCUUCGGCGAUGGAGGGAAGGCUGACCGAGCAACGCCGCGUGGGUGAAGAAGGUUUUCGGAGCGUAAAACUCUGUUGGUAGAGAAGAACGUUGGUGAGAGUGGAAAGCUCAUCAAGUGACGGUAACUACCCAGAAAGGGACGGCUAACUACGUG
rnacentral:rRNA from 1 species